UACGUAGGGGGCAAGCGUUAUCCGGAUUUACUGGGUGUAAAGGGAGCGUAGACGGUCCUGCAAGCCAGAUGUGAAAGCCCGGGGCUCAACCCCGGGACUACAUUUGGAACUGUAAGGCUAGAGUGUCGGAGAGGCAGGCGGAAUUCCUAGUGUAGCGGUGAAAUGCGUAGAUAUUAGGAGGAACACCAAUGGCGAAGGCGGCCUGCUGGACGAUGACUGACGUUGAGGCUCGAAAGCGUGGGGAGCAAACAGG
rnacentral:rRNA from 1 species